rnacentral:rRNA from 1 species
UCCUGCCCAGUGAUUCAUUAAACGGCCGCGGUACCUUAACCGUGCUAAGGUAGCAUAAUCAUUUGCCUUUUAAUUAAAGGCUAGUAUGAAUGGACCCCUGAAAGUUUUGCUGUCUCCCACUUUCUCCUGUAACCUAACCCUCAAGUGAAAAGGCUUGAAUACACCUAUAGGACAAGAAGACCCUAUCAAGCUUAAUUAUUUUAUUUAUUAUAACUUAACCAAAUUAACCCCCAUAAUCAACAUAAUUUAGUUGGGGCGACUAAGGGCCACAAACAACUCCCUCUCCUCCACACGAAUAUAAUUCUACUCCGUGACCCUCUCCCCGGAUCAACAGAAAAGCUACUGUAGGGAUAACAGGCUAAUUUUUUCCCAGAGCCCAAAUCGAAGAAAAAGUUUGGCACCUCGAUGUUGGCUUAAGACUUCCAGUAAAUGCAGCAAUUUCCAUGGUGGGUCUGUUCUCCCCUUAAAGUCUUACAUGAGCUGAGUUCAGACCGGCGCAAGCCAGGUCAGAUUCUAUCCAUAGGACCUUCACCCUUCAACUAAUUGUACGAAAGGACCCUAGUUGAUUAUCCUAUAACAGACAAUCCCGCUCUCUAAACUGCUUUCCCCU